rnacentral:rRNA from 1 species
UACGGGGGGGGCAAGCGUUGUUCGGAAUUACUGGGCGUAAAGGGCUCGUAGGUGGCCAACUAAGUCAGACGUGAAAUCCCUCGGCUUAACCGGGGAACUGCGUCUGAUACUGGAUGGCUUGAGUUUGGGAGAGGGACGCGGAAUUCCCGGUGUAGUGGUGGAAUGCGUAGAUAUCGGGAGGAACACCAGUGGCGAAGGCGGCUCUCUGGACCGGUUCUGACGCUCAGGCGCGAAAGCGUGGGGAGCGAUCCGG